UUCUUGGAGAUUUUGCAGUGGAAGAUUGUUGUCUUUCUCCGGGGACUUCAUUUUCCUUACAAUGAGACUAUCACAUGAAAUAGACUUGAAAAGGUGUUAGUCUCAAGGUGUUAGAUUAUAGAGUAACCUCCCCCUAAAGGUGUGCAUACAAGUUUUGAAUACUUGUAGGAGACAUGCACUUUGAUUUGAUAUCAAGAGGGGCAAAUUAUCCAUAAUCCAAACUUUGGCACAUAUAAGUUAAAUGAUACACUUUGUAGAAAUCAAAAUUUUCAAUUGAUGCAUCAUUUACUAUGGAGUGAUAUAAAAGCUAUGUGCCGUGCUUUAACUAAACAUUUUAAGCCAUGUAGGUUUGCUUAAGUAUAUGAAUUUAAAAACUAGCAAUCCUACCAUAUGAUUUACCUAGUAUGCAUGAUUUUGAACAAAAGUACAUAACAAAUGUAAUACUAAGCAAGAAAGGUAAACUAGAUAAAAGAUAAAUAGAUACGCAUAUCUAAAAAUGAGGAAUACACUAAAACUAGUUACCUUAGUCAUGGGUGGGAAAUUUGGGUCUAAAAUUUUCACUAACCCACUUGGCAAUAAACUUGAUCCAAUAUGAUGUAUCCCAUGAUAUACAUCCCAAUUUAGCCAAGUCUCCAAAUUUCCUGUUGACCUUUGGUUCACUCACUUCCCUUUCGGGAUCCAAACCUUCUUGGUGCUUUUCAUGGUUGAAAUUAUCUCUUUUGGCACCCAGAUGCGUUUGGCCCCCUUUCCUUUGUUGGCUUGCUUGUUGGCCUUGAUUGCUAUCACCUUUCCAUUCUUUUUCUUCUUGAUCAAAUAUGGUGUAGCGUCCUUUUUGUUCACCUUUUUGAUGUAGGUGCUGGAGAUUUUGCUUGAUGGCUUUUGCUUGAGCUUUUGCCUUUGUUUAUCCCCGGUCAUCGCCUUGCAUUGGAAAGACUUGUGGCCUUCCUUGUGGCAUAGCCUACAAAUCACAGUUUCUCCCUCUACAGGCUUGUUCACUCCCGCAGUGGUGUUAUCCUGUGGAGGUCGGAUUUGUUCGGCUUUGCCUUUCUUGUCAUACAAAGCCUUGCCAAGACGAGCCACUUCUUGCUUUAAUUGUUCAUUUUCCUUUGCAACCUCAUCAGAGCAUGUCUCUACAACAAUAUUCUCAACAACAACUUGGUUGCAGGGGUUAGAAUCAUCAAUUAAGUCAAAGCAGGAAGUAGAAGCAUCUUUCUUAAUAAUUUCAGGAAUUUCAACUAAAGAUGCUGCUGGGGUGCUACCAAUGUUUUCUAGCUUAGUAGUUAGCUCAUUAUUGUGUAUGCUAAGAAUUUCCAUUUUCUCUAGCAAAUUUUCAAUAGCUUCUUGGGAGCUAGCUAACUUAGCCUUAAGUUUUUCAUUCUUUUUAAUAAGGCUAUCAUCGGUAGCAGUGGAUGGAGCACUAGAUUCUAAUAGCUCAAGUUUAGUUGAUAGCUCACUAUUUAAGUUUGCAAAAGUUUCAAAUUUUUCUAGCAAACCUUUGUAAUCAUUUUGAGAGCUAACCAACUUAUUUUUCAAAGUUUUAAGUUGAGCUUUUUGCUUAGUGCAAACAUCCUGGAAAAAUUCUACGGCUUCCGCAAGCUCAUCUAGAGAGGCUUUUCCCUCACCUUCAUCAUCACUACUACUUUCAUCACUAGAGGAUGGAGUGCUUUUGUUACCUCUUGCCAUAAGGCAUUUGUGCGAUGACCGUGAUGAUCGUGACGAGGACCGGUGGCUGCGCGUCCUUGGAGGUUCAUCUUCACUUGAAGAAUCAUCCCACGUUCUUACACUUGUUAGCGCCUUGCCUUUGCUCCUCUCCUUUUUGGGUUUGGCCAUAUUUGGACAAUUGUCCCUGAAGUGGCCUUUCUCCCCACAUGCGAAGCAUCCUCUCUUCCUUUGCUUUUUCCUGUCAAUGUUAAAGAGAAGAUCCUCGACCUGCAGGGGCACACCCAUUAGAUUAAUCUUGCGGAUCAUCCCCAUUACCUUUCCGACGCGUCAGAUCGUUUCUUCGUCCUCGGAGGAUGAUGUGCAUGGUUGAUUAUCUUCAUCAUCAUCACUUUCUUCUUCUUCCUCUUCUUCACUUGAGGAACUUGGAGUGGGAGCCUUCUUUUUGCCCUUCCUUUCAUCACAUGCAAAAGCAUAUGGUCUUGAGGAAGUUGGCUCCUCUCCCCGACUCAUUUUUCGCGACAUCUCAAAGGCCGCGAUUUUCCCAAUCACAAUGGUCGGGGUCAUGUUGCUCAAGUCCUCCAUGUUGUGAAGGAUGGUGAUGAUGCUCCCAUAUUUUUGUUGUGGUAGCAGGGAGAUAAUCUUCCUCACAAUGUCCGCAUCACCUAUCUUAUUAAUGCCAAUAGAAUUGAGCUCAUUGAUAAUUAGAUUCAAGCGAGAAUACAUGUCUCUAACAAGCUCAUCAUCUUUCAUAGCAAAAGAAUUAUACUCAUUUAAGACUAGGCAAUGUUUUUGCUCACGGACAUUGGAUGUGCCGUCAUGGAGCUCAUGCAAUUUUAGCCAAAUCUCAUUAGCAGUUUUCAGGGUAAAUACUUGAUUGAAAAUAUCCAUGCUAAGAGAUUCAUACAAGCAAUUUUUGGCUCUAGCAUUUAAAUGAAUUUCUUUUUCUUCACUCGUGGUGGGUUUUUGGUAACAAGCCAUUCUAGCACUAUAAUAUGGGAAGUUAGUGCCGUCGAAGUGUGGUGGCCUAUGGGUAUCCAUCCCUUCCUCUAAAAAGUGUCGGCUCUUUUUAGCGGUGAAGCUAAAGCGUUUCAAAUGAGCCAAACCGGGCUCUGAUACCAAUUGAAGGAAACGAGUGACGCCUAAGAGGGGGGGGUGAAUUAGGACUUCUUAAACUUUUACUAAACUAGGCCACAAUUAAAUCCCUAGAGCAAAACCUAUGCAAGAAUCAAAACUAGAAUGUGCAAACUAGGUUUUGUCUAAGUGUUGCUAUCUCUACCGCAAAGGCUAAGUUUCAAUCUACACUAAAUAAGUAUGACAACAAGAUUGAAACUUAAAUGCUUAAUAUAAAUGCGGAGUGUAAAGAGCUAAGUAGAGAAGCAAACUCUCGUGGAUGACGCCGGUAUUUUUACCGAGGUAUCCGGAACCGCGCAAGGUCCCGACUAAUCCUCGUUGGUGCCCCUACGCAAAGGGAAGCCCACGCGAGGGCCAAGCACCUCGGUCGAGUAACUCCGUAGAGAGCCACGGGCCUUCUCCACGCGCAAGUGGUGCUCCGCUUCCGGCUCCUCUCGGACGCUCCCCGCCGUCUCCACUAUCGAGCUUCCGGCCGAAACGCCGCGGGCCUCGUUCCCUCCGGUACACGGUGGCGGCCGUGACACAAACACGGUUGUCACGGUCUCGCAAGACUCUCGCCCCACUCGGUACAAUUACAACGGCUCGCGCAAGAGCCGAGGGGUUGUGAGGUUUAUCUAAACUCACUCAACUAACUAGGAUUCACCUAGAGCAAGCGUUAAAGCGGUCUAACUAACCUAAGCACUUCGCAAAGCACCUACGCUAAUCACCGAGUGAUUCUAUUAAGCACUUGGGUGUUUGAGCACUUGGAAAUAUGCACUAUGUGUAUUGGAAUGUUGCUUGGGCUCUCACACUUGAGAAUGGCCGGUUGGGGUGUUAUUUAUAGCCUCCACACCCUCAACUAGCCGUUGGACAGAAAGCAGCAGCUUUCUGUCGUCGGGUGCACCGGACAGUCCGGUGCACCACCGGACACUGAACAGUAGAUGUCCGGUGCGCCUAUGUCAGCCGACCGUUGGCGUCUGUAGCAGUCGACCGUUGGAUCCGACCGUUGGAUUCGACCGUUGCAGUCUGCCCGUUGGCACACCGGACAGUCCGGUGCACACCGGACAGUCCGGUGCUACAGCCCGAGAGCGCCUACCUGCGGCCUCUCUGCGCAGACCGUCCGGUUGUCCCACCGGACAGUCCGGUGCACACCGGACAGGUACUGUGCACUGUCCGGUGCGCCACCAGGCGCUGGCUGACAGCCCUCUUCUCAGGUUUCUUUGCUGAUUUCUAUGGGCUUCUUUUGUUCUUGAGUCUUGGACUUCUAUGCAUCUUUUUAUGUCUUCAUUUGAGGUGUUGCAUCCUCAUUGCCUUGGUCCAAUCCUCUUCGCAUCCUGUGAACUACAAACACAAACACUAGAAACCUUAUUAGUUCACGGAUUGUGUUGUUCAUCAAACACCAAAACUCAAUUAGCCAAAAGGCCCGGGGUCCAUUUUCCUUACACACUCCAUUUCUAAUGUGUUUUUAGUUGAGUCGCUCGGGUAUAACUUGUUGUCCGUUAGUCAACUUUGUAAUAUGGGUUAUAAUUGCUUAUUCACAAAUGUAGAUGUGUCUAUCUUUAGAAGAAGUGAUGGUUCAUUAGCUUUUAAGGGUGUACUAGACGACAAACUAUAUUUAGUUGAUUUUGCAAAAGAGGAGGCCAGUCUAUAUGCAUGCUUAAUUGCUAAGACCAACAUGGGCUGGCUGUGGCAUCGUCGUUUAGCACAUGUGGGGAUGAAGAACCUUCACAAACUUCUAAAGGGAGAACAUGUGUUAGGUCUAACAAAUGUAAAUUUCGAAAAAGAUAGACCUUGUGUAGCUUGUCAAGCAGGUAAACAGGUGGGAAGCUCUCAUCAUAUCAAAAAUGUGAUGACCACGUCAAGACCUUUGGAGUUACUUCAUAUGGACCUCUUCGGACCCGUCACCUACCUAAGCAUAGGAGGAAGUAAGUAUGGUCUUGUUAUAGUUGAUGAUUUUUCCCGCUUCACUUGGGUAUUCUUUUUGUAGUAUAAAUCUGAAACCCAAGGGACCCUCAAGCGCUUCCUAAGGAGAGCUCAAAAUGAGUUUGAGCUCAAGGUGAAAAAGAUAAGGAGCGACAACGGGUCCGAGUUCAAGAAUCUUCAAGUGGAGGAGUUCCUUGAGGAGGAAGGAAUCAAGCAUGAGUUCUCCGCUCCCUACACACCACAGCAAAACAGUGUGGUACAGAGGAAGAACAGGACGCUCAUUGACAUGGUGAGGACGAUGCUUGGAGAGUUCAAGACGCCCGAGAGGUUUUGGUCGGAAGCCGUGAACACGGCUUGCCACGCCAUAAACCGGGUCUACCUUCAUCGCCUCCUCAAGAAGACUUCAUAUGAGCUACUAACCGGUAACAAACCCAAUGUGUCAUACUUUCGUGUUUUUGGGAGCAAAUGUUAUAUUCUAGUGAAGAAAGGUAGAAAUUCUAAGUUUGCUCCCAAAGCCGUAGAAGGGUUUUUGUUAGGUUAUGACUCAAAUACAAAGGCGUAUAGGGUCUUCAACAAAUCAUCGGGUUUGGUUGAAGUCUCUAGCGACGUUGUAUUUGAUGAGACUAAUGGCUCUCCAAGAGAGCAAGUUGUUGAUCUUGAUGAUAUAGAUGAAGAAGAUGUUCCAACGGCCGCCAUACGUACCAUGGCAAUUGGAGAUGUGCGACCACAGGAACAAACGGAGCAAGAUCAACCUUCUUCCUCAACAAUGGUGCAACCCCCAACUCAAGAUGAUGAACAGGUUCAUCAAGAAGAGGCGUGUAACCAAGGGGGAGCACAAGAUGAUCAUGUUAUGGAGGAAGAAGCACCUCAAGCCCCUCCAACUCAAGUUCGAGCGACGAUUCAAAGGAAUCAUCCCGUCGACCAGAUAUUGGGUGAUAUUAGCAAGGGAGUAACUACUCGCUCUAGAUUAGUUAAUUUUUGUGAGCAUUACUGUUUUGUCUCUUCUAUUGAGCCUUUCAGGGUAGAAGAGGCCAUGCUAGAUCCGGACUGGGUGUUGGCAAUGCAGGAAGAGCUCAACAAUUUCAAGAGAAAUGAAGUUUGGACACUGGUGCCACGUCCCAAGCAAAACGUUGUGGGAACCAAGUGGGUGUUCCGCAACAAACAAGACGAGCUCGGAGUGGUGACAAGGAACAAGGCUAGACUUGUGGCAAAAGGUUAUGCCCAAGUCGCAGGUUUGGACUUUGAGGAGACUUUUGCUCCUGUGGCUAGGCUAGAGUCAAUUCGCAUAUUGUUAGCCUAUGCCGCUCACCAUUCUUUCAGGUUGUUCCAAAUGGACGUGAAGAGCGCUUUCCUCAACGGACCAAUCAAGGAGGAGGUGUACGUGGAGCAACCCCCUGGCUUUGAGGAUGAACGGUACCCCGAUCAUGUGUGUAAGCUCUCUAAGGCGCUCUAUGGACUUAAGCAAGCCCCAAGAGCAUGGUAUGAAUGCCUUAGAGACUUUUUAAUUGCUAAUGCUUUCAAGGUUGGGAAAGUUGAUCAGACUUUAUUCACUAAGACUUGUGAUGGUGACUUAUUUGUGUGCCAAAUUUAUGUCGAUGACAUAUUAUUUGGUUCUACUAACCAAAAGUCUUGUGAAGAGUUUAGCAGGGUGAUGACUCAAAAGUUUGAAAUGUCAAUGAUGGGCGAGUUGAACUACUUCCUUGGGUUCCAAGUGAAGCAACUCAAGGAUGGCACCUUCAUCUCUCAAACGAAGUACACGCAAGACUUGAUCAAGCGGUUUGGGAUGAAGGACGCCAAGCCCGCAAAGACUCCAAUGGGAACUGACGGACACGUCGACCUCAACAAAGGAGGUAAGUCCGUUGAUCAAAAAGCAUACCGGUCUAUGAUAGGUUCCUUGCUUUACUUAUGUGCUAGUAGACCGGAUAUUAUGCUUAGUGUAUGCAUGUGUGCUGGAUUUCAAUCUGAUCCAAGGGAGUGUCACCUAGUGGUCGUGAAGCGAAUUCUUAGAUAUUUAGUUGCUACGCCUUGCUUCGGGAUCUGGUAUCCAAAGGGGUCUACCUUUGACUUAAUUGGAUAUUCAGACUCCGAUUAUGCUGGAUGCAAGGUCGAUAGGAAGAGUACAUCAGGGACGUGCCAAUUCUUAGGAAGGUCCCUGGUGUCUUGGAGUUCUAAGAAACAAAAUUCCGUUGCUCUAUCCACCGCUGAGGCCGAGUAUGUUGCCGCAGGUCAGUGUUGCGUGCAACUACUUUGGAUGAGGCAAACCCUCCGGGACUUUGGCUACAAUCUGAGCAAAGUCCCACUCCUAUGUGAUAAUGAGAGUGCAAUCCGCAUGGCGGAUAAUCCUGUUGAACACAGCCGCACAAAGCACAUAGACAUCCGGCAUCACUUUUUGAGAGACCACCAGCAAAAGGGAGAUAUCGAAGUGUUUUAUGUUAGCACCGAGAACCAGCUAGCCGAUAUCUUUACCAAGCCUUUAGAUGAAAAGACCUUUUGCAGGCUGCGUAGUGAGCUAAAUGUCUUAGAUUCGCGGAACUUGGAUUGAUUUGUAGCAUACAUGUGUCUUAUGCUUUGAUCAUGUUCUUUUAUGCAUAUUGUUGUUUAUUUAUGGUGCUCAAGUUGUACAAACACUCCCCGGACCUCAAAAGUCCAUGUGUGAGUGAUGCACAUAUUUAGGGGGAGAUGUGCUACAACUUGACUCUUUGGGACUAACCAUAUGCUUGAGUGUUCUUAAAUUAGUCUCAAAGGUGGAUUGAAAGGGAAAGGUGGACUUGGACCAUGAAAGACUUCCACUGCACUCCGAUAAGAGGGUAACUUACUCCAAGUUCAUCUCCAUAUUCUUAUUGCCUUUUUACUUUUAUUUGAAGAUUUUGGUGAGGCAAUGGGGUUUAAGGGCCAAAAAUGAUCCUGUUUUGGUGCUUGAUGCCAAAGGGGGAGAAGUUAAGGGCCAAAGCAACAAAUGGAUCAGCUACCACUUGAGAAUUUUGAAAAUAGUAGAGUUAGGACUUUUGAUUUGCCAAAAUUCAAAAUGUCUAUUUUUGUCAAAAGUUGGUCUCUUGUGGGGAGAAUGUUUGAUUAUGGGAAAAAGGGGGAGUUUUUGAAUCAGUGAUCAAUUUCUCUUGGAAUAUCUUUCUCUAUGCCUCAACAAGUGAAUUUGACUUAGAGAUAGGAAAUUGUGUUUGAUUUGCAAAAACAAACCUAGUGGUGGCAAAGAAUGAUCCAAAUAUGCCAAAUUUGAAUCAAAACAAAUUUGUGUUCUCAUUUGCAUUGAUGUUGCACUUCUUUUAGUUGCUUUUUGGUGUGUUGGCAUAAAUCACCAAAAAGGGGGAGAUUGAAAGGGAAAUGUGCCCUUGGGCCAUUUCUAUAAGAUUUUGGUGAUUAAGUGCCCAACACACAUUAAGGGAAUGAGUAUAUGCCAAAGGGUGGACAAAGUGCAAAUCAAUACAAAGGUAUGAUUCUAGACUUAGUAUAUUGGUUUUUGUGUACUAACAUAUUUGUCUAAGUUCUGGAAUCAAAGAAAAGACAAUUGGAAAGACUUGGCUCGAGCAGCCAAGACUCUGCUCAGUCUGGGUGCACCGGACUGUCCGGUGGUGCACCGGACACUGUCCGGUGCGCCAGACUGGCUCUGGGGAAAAGGCCGCUCUCGGGAAUUCGUCGGCGGCGUACGGCUAAAAUUCACUAGACUGUCCGGUGAGCCAACGGUCGGCUGUGCCAACGGUCGGCCGCGCAAUCCGCGCGUGACGCGUGGCCGAGCCAACGGUCAGAAGGGGGCACCGGACUGUCCGGUGUGCACCGGACAGUGUCUGGUGCACCAACGGCUCCAAAUCUUCAACGGUCGGCUGUGCCAGAACAGGAAAGAGAUCUGCACCGGACAGUGUCCGGUGGUGCACCGGACUGUCCGGUGCGCCAGUCGACAGAAGGCAAGAUUUGCCUUCCUUGAUUGCUCUCAACGGCUCCUAGCUGCCUUGGGGCUAUAAAAGGGACCCCUAGGCGUAUGAAGGAGUACACCAAGCACACUUUGAGCAUUCUUGAUCAUUCUCACUCCGACUUUGCGCACUCGUUUGACAUUCUUAGUGAUUUGAGCUCCGUUCUAGUGGUGAACUUUGUGAUACUCAUUUGAGCUCAAUUCUUGGCUGUGUGUGUGCAUAUUUGCUGUGGAUUUGAGUGUGUUGCUUCCCUCCCUUACUCUAGUGCUUUCACUUUGAUUCUUAUUGUAAGGGUGAGAGACUCCAAGUUGUAGAGAUUCCUCACAAGCGGGAAAGAGUAAAGAAAGAAGAACACCGUGGUAUUCAAGUCGAUCAUUGGAUUACUUGAGAGGGGUUGAGUGCAACCCUCGUCCGUUGGGACGCCACAACGUGGAGUAGGCAAGUUUUGUACUUGGCCGAACCACGGGAUAAAUCCUCGUGUCUCUUGUGCUUGUUCUCACUGUGUCUAUUGUAUUUCACAAGAGAUCUCCUAUAACCACUUGAUUUCAUUGUGCUAACUCUUAAUCAAGUUUUGUGGCCUUAAGUGUUAAGUUUUUACAGGAUCACCUAUUCACCCCCCUCUAGGUGCUCUCACUAUUAGUGUUUGAUUUUUACAGGAUCACAUUUUCACCCCCCCCUCUAGGUGCUCUCAUUACUGCAUAGGCAAUUUUAUUACGAAGUUAACACAAUUCGAACAAAAUAAAUCGGGGCUAAAACAAAUAAGAUAUGGGUUUUAUAAGUUUUUAUGCAUUUUUAUAUAAAUUUUACGCUUAAAUAUAGUGCUCGGGAUGUUUCUACAAAGUCAUCAUUUAUUUAUAUUUCUUUUGACUUAAAAAUGGACACGCGUUAUUUCUCUGAGAGUCCAGGGGCUCUUUUAGAAAACUUGAUAGGCGCACUCUUUUGGGCCAUCCAUUCGUGGGUCAACGGCCCAGAUCAGACCACAAAGCGGUAUGCGUAUAUUCUAAUCACAUUUGUCCAUCCUAGAUCGACGGCUAGGAGGCCAUCUCCUUUCCCCCGACCGAUGGAGCGGUGGCGCGGUUUGCCAGCGAAACCCAUUUCUGGCCCAGAUGCCCCGAACUCGAAUCAGACCGGUGCUACAUGAAAUAGAUUCAAUGGUGAAUCGAUGGGUGAAGUUCUUACUGGGAAUCGGAUGCUGGUGUGUGCCGUCCACGACGCGGGGUGGACGGGUGAUGCUUGUUGAACUUUGGCGAGCAAUUCGCAUCUUCACCGCCACCAUCCGAGCGUGCCUCCGCCACAAAGAUGCUCGGUUCGAUCCUACGAUGCUCCUAAGCCACAUGUCCCUGCAGAAUCGAUGGUGCACUUGGAUUUCGCCGCGGCGCCGACCAUUUCCAUCUCGGUCUCUCUCUUCGCUCUUCUCUGUCCCCUGCUCGGCACCGGC
rnacentral:lncRNA from 1 species